GGCCGUCAAUUCAUUUGAGUUUCACCGUUGCCGGCGUACUCCCCAGGUGGAUAACUUAACGAUUUCUCUGUACCACUGACCCAAAAGCCAACAGUUAGUUAUCAUCGUUUACAGUGUGGACUACCAGGGUAUCUAAUCCUGUUUGAUACCCACACUUUCGUGCCUCAGCGUCAGUUGAGACUUAGUAACUUGCCUACGCAAUUGGUGUUCUGGAUAAUAUCUAUGCAUUUCACCGCUACACUAUCCAUUCCAGCUACCUCAAUCUCACUCAAGUCUACCAGUAUCAAUGGCACUGCAAUCGUUGAGCGACCGUCUUUCACCACUGACUUAAUAAACCGCCUACGCACCCUUUAAACCCAAUAAUUCCGGAUAACGCUUGCAUCCUCUGUAUUACCGCGGC
rnacentral:misc_RNA from 1 species